CAUGCCUGUAAUCCCAGCACUUUGGGAGGCCGAGGCGGGCGGAUCACGAGGUCAGGCGUGAGCCACCGCACCCGGCUGUGUUUUUUAUAGAGAUACAAAAUAUAAAAUUAGACAGGCAUGGUGUUUCACGUGGGGUGUUUUACAUGGUGUUUCGUGGGGUUUCACUAUGUUGCCCAGGCUAGUCUUGAACUUUUGGGAUCAAGUGAUCUACCUGCCUCAGCCUCCCAAAGUGUUGGGACUACAGGCAUAAGCCACUAUGCCCAGCCAUACACAGAACUUUUGACUUUUUUUGCUUCAUAUCUAACAGCAACUUUAUUCAGAGGAAAUGAAACACAGCAAGCCUUUAGGCAUAGUGUGAAUUUCCCAGGACAAAGUACUGUCAAUUUUUUUUUUUUUUCCUGAGAUGGAGUCUAGCUCUGUUGCCCAGACUGGAAUGCAAUGGCGCAAUCUGGGCUCACUGCAACCUCUGCCUCCCGGGUUCAAGUGAUUCUCCGGUCUCAGCCUUCCAAGUAGCUGGGAUUACAGGUGCACGCCACCACGCCCCACUAACUUUUUGUAUUUUAGUAAAGAUGGAGUUUCACCAUGUUGCCCAGGCUGGUCUCGAACUCCUGAGCUCAGGCAAUCCACCCACCUCGGCUCCCAAAGUGCUGAGAUUACAGGCAUGAGCCACCGUGCCCAGCCAGUACUGUCACAUUAAAACUCUGAGGCGUGGCAUGCGAAGUACUAGAAUCCUACAACAAGUUAUACUAGGAUCAGGAUUAGAAUAAGGAUUCUGUUGUUAGCAUUAUGCCAACUCUCUAUAAUGUGCACACUGUCUACUAAGCACAGCAUAGGCUUCUGAAAACAAGUGAUCUGUGUGGACCUUUUAUUUUUAACUGGGCACAUAGCCUGGAAUCAAGCAUUUCCUAGACUCCCCUGCAGCAAGAUAUGCAUAGUUGUAUGUCUAAAUUCUGGCCAAAGCAGUGGAAGCAGAAGCAGUGCGUGGGCCAGCUUGUUCUCCUUUGCUGUUGGUUCCUUUGCUGGCUGGAAUGCACUUAGGAUGCUGGGAUCCAGCAGCACUCUGACAGUUGAGAAGAUCUUAUCAAUGAAAGCCAAUUAAUGGCAUCAAACUGCAAGGAAACAAAAAAGCCUGUGGCUCCACCAUCACUAUCUGAGACAUUCUUGAGAAUGAAAUAAACAGUCUUGUUUAAAUCACUUUUUAGAAAUGUUUUAGUGUUAUUUGUAGGCAAAUGUAAUCCCAAUUCAUAGAGCCUCAAAACUAGUAGGGUUUGUAAAAGGAGUGAGGAGAGGAGUUAAUCCAAAAGAAGGGAAGAAAGAGGAAAAAAGACACCUCAGAAAAGGAGGCUGGGCUCAGUGGCUCAGGCCUGUAAUUCCAACACUUUGGGAGGCCCAGGUAGGAGGACUGCUUAAGGCUAGAAGUUUGAGACCAGCCUGGGCAACAUAGUGAGAGCCCAUCUCUAUUUAAAUAAAUAAAUUAAAAUACAUUCAAAAAGCACAAAUCCCCCAAAAUAACAUGGUAAGAAUAAAUCUAAAUAUAUAGAAGUCACCUCGUAAAAAUGGACUACAUUACCUAUUUCUAAAAUAAAAAUCAGGAAACUGGAUAAAACAUAAAAUCCAGGUAUAUGCUGAUUACAAGAGACAUGAUUAAUAAGGACAGUGAAAGGUAAAAAGUAAAUGGAUGGAAAGAGAUAUACCAGACAAACACUAAUCAAAGGAAGUCUGCUACUGUAAUAGUCAUAAUACAUAUAACUCUCAGGCAAACACAAACAGAGAUUCUGAAAAACAGAAUGGAUCAGUGAACAUCUGCCAGGAAUAUUACAAUUCUAAACUUGAUCCAUCCAAUAUCUUCAAAAUAUAUAAAACAAAAGUUUUUUAAGGAGAAAUGGACAAACCAUUUUAUAGAAAGUGGUGUGAUACAGACAUGCAAUGAAUGGAAAACAGUAAACCCAAGCUCAUCUUUUGGACGGACGCAUCCCUCCCCCAUUCCAGUUCUGCCUUCACACCUAAUCUCAGUGGUCCUUGGAGUGACUGGUGGGCCUCCUCUCUCCUGGAUGCCAGUUUCAAAUCUGCUCUCCAGAGACGUCCUACGCGUCCUCCCCACCUCCUUGCCCUGAGGUGAUGACUCUGCUCCCGUCUGCCUCACCUCACCUCUCCUCAGACAUGGCCUUUCUCCUGUACCUGUGGAGAAGCUAUCUGUUCUCUACUUGGGCACUAAUUCGAUUCCUUCUCACCUAAGGAUAACCCCAACAGUUGCCUGUUUUCUCUCCAGCAUAAUAAGCUCCCUUUCUCUAACAAGGUCAUUCUCAGCAACAUAUAAACAUGCUUAUAUUGCUCCAUUAAAAAAACAAAACAAGGACAGGCGCGGUGGCUCAUGCCUGUAAUCCUAACACUGUGGGAGGCUGAGAUGGGGGGACUGUUUAAACCCAGGAGUUUGAGACCAGCCUAGGCAACAAAGCGAGAUUGCAUCUCUACAAAAAAAAAAUAUUAAUUAGGCAGGUGUGGUGGUGCACCCCUGUGUUCCCAGCUACUUGGGAGGCUGGGGUGGGAGGAUCAGUGGAGCCCAGGAGUUCAAGGCUGCAUUGAGCUGAGAUCACACCACUGCACUUCAGCCUGGGUGACAAAGUGAGACCCUAUCUCAAAACAACAGCAACAACAACAACGAAACAGUUGUCUCCUUUGACCCUACAUCCCUCCAUUUCUCUGCUUCCUUGUACAGGAAAAUCCACGCAUGUGGUCUCCAAUUACUCUCCUGUUUUCUCUUCUCUUAAUCCUCCUCCUCUCAGGCUACCUUACCCAUGCUUCUGCCAUCACCAUUCCACCAAAAUGGCCCUUUAUGUAUCUAAUGACCUCUGCCUUUCUAGAUCUGGCUUGGUGAGCCCUUCAGCUGCCUUUGACACUGUGGAUUCUCUCCUUGAGUACGUUGUUCAGGUGGCUUCCAAUUGCUUUUCCUUUGAUCUUGCUGUUUAUUCCUCCCUUUCCACCGCUGUGUUCAUGUCUCUGGGAUCAGUCCUUAGACAGCUUGUCUUCUCUACUUAUUAGGCAUUCUCAUCUUAUUCAUCUUAAUCUAUACUCUGGUGACUCCCAAAUAGAAUCUUCAAACUGGACCUAUCUCCAGACUCAUAUAUCCAACUGCCUGCUUGACUUCUCUAUUCUGAUGUCUAACAAAACAUAUCAAAUUUAACAUGUUCCAAACCAAACUCCUGACUUUCCCCCAGAUCAACAUUUCCUAUAGUUUUCCCCAUUUCAGUGGCAACGCCAUCCUCUUCUUCACUCAGACUCCAAGCCAUGUUUGGCUCCCUUACUCUUACCCAUAUCUAAUCUGUCGAGAAAUCCUGUUCUAUCUUCAAGAUAUAUCCACAGUCUGAUUCCUCCAUUAAAGUCUCUCUUACCCAGAUUGUUAAAUCCUCCUAACUCAUCUCCCAGCUUCCAUUUGUGUGCCAAUGGAAGGUACACGGAGGUUCUCAUUUGGAUAGAGAAGCCAGAUUAAUUCUUUAAAAAAGUAUGUCAAGUUGCAGCACUCAGAACUGAUGAGCUCUUCUUGGAGUAAAACCAAGCCUUUAAUAAUGGCCUCUGAUGGGCAGAUCACUUGAGUUCAAGAGUUCAAGACCAGCCUGGGCAACGUGGUAAAACUCCCAGCCAGGUGCGGCGGGCCUGUGGUCCCAGCUACUUGGGAGGCUGAGGUGGGAGGAUUGCUUGAGACUGGCAGGUGGAGGUUACAGUCAGCCAAAAUUGCGCCGCUGCACUCCAGCCUGGGUGAGUGAGAUCCCAUCUCAAAAAAAAAAAAAAAAGAAAAAAAAAAAAAAGGCCCUGAGACCCCUGUGAUCUGAGACGCCCCCAGUCUGACUUCAUCUCCCAUCCCUCUCCUCUGGCUCAUGGCUGCAGCCCACUGGUGGCUUCCCUCAGCCUUGCACAUGUCAAGCACUUGCCCAUCAGUCAGGUGCUGCUCCCUCUGCCUGAAAAGUUCUUCUCCGCAGAUCUCUACAGACUUCCUCUCUCCCUCUCUUCAGGUUUCUGCUCACAGGUCACCUGGCCAGGGAUGCCCUCCCUGACCACCCUGAAUGCAACAGCAACACCGACCCUGCCUGUGCAGCGGACACUAUACUGCUCUUACCCUUCCUGGUUAUUUGUUACUGCUCACCUGGUUACUGCUUACCACAUUUGGUUAUUUGGUAUCCCUUCCCAUGAGGGGAGGGAUUUUGUUUUGUUCACUGCGACAUCCCCAGAAGCUACAACAGUACCUGGCAUAAGUUUUCAUCCCAACAGAAUUUUUCUGAGGAACUUGAUAUACAAAUUCUAUAAUUUAUAUUGGAAGAAUGAAGAUAUAAGAACAGUUUUUCUUUCUGCACAAAAAGGAUAAAGAAGGAGCACUCACCAGAUACCAAGGCGUGCUACAAAGCCAUGUGAUUCUGUCCAAGGUAAAUACUCCAGAGAAGUUCUCCCACCUCAUGGCAGAGAGACAUGCACCACAGUGUUGAUGAAACGCUGAAAACACCAAAAUGGCCCCAGUGCAGUGGCUCACGCCUAUAAUCCCAGCACUUUGGGAGGCCCAGGCAGGCGGAUCACCUGAGGUCGGGAGUUCAAGACCAGCCUGACCAACAUGGAGAAACCUCGUCUCUACUAAAAAUACAAAAAAUUAGCUGGGCGUGGUGGCACAUGCCUGUAAUCCCAGCUACUUGGGAGGCUGAGGCAGGAGAAUUGCUUGAACCCACGAGGCGGAGGUUGCGGUGAGCCGAGAUCGCACCAUUGCACUCCAGACUAGGUAACGAGAGAAACUCCAUCUCAAAAAAAAAAAAAAAAAAAAAAGAACCCUGAAACAUCAUUAGGAAAAUGGUCAAAGAGAAUGUAGUAUAUGUGUAUGAAUUUAACAGAAAUGAACUAGAUCUCUAUGUAUCAAAGUAGACAGAGUGUUCAAGACAUAGUGUUCAAUAUAAAAUUGUUCUUUUUACUGCAGCUUAACAGUGGAUGUAACUGCUCAUUUGCUGUAUUUUCUGAAGGCCCCAACAGUCUCUCCUGUCCCUCCUCCUCUUCUAAAACCUUGAUACUUCCCUAUGAAGAGGUAGGGUCUAAUACUCCCCUCCUUCAACCUGAAGCCCCGCCUUGGGCUUGUGACUUGCUUGUAAUCAAAUACAGUGGAAGAGUUACUACGUGACUUCCAGGGCUAGGUCAGAAAAGGAUGCAGCCUCAGGGUUCAACACACAGUUGGGCCUGGAGCCACCAUGCAAGAAGGCUGCCAUGCUGCGAGGGAGCAAAGGCACGUGGAGGGACAUACACAGGGGCUGUGGCUGGCAGUCCUGGCCUUUGAGUCAUCCUUGUUUAAGUGCCAGGCACACACGUUAACUACCUUUAGGUAAUUCCAUACCUCAGAUGUCAUGUCACCCCAAGCCCUUGAGCCUUCCCAUCUGAAGCCCCAGGCUUUAUGGAGAAGAAACAAGAUGUUCCUGCCACGCUCUUUCUGAACUGCUGAAAUACAGAAUCUAUGACCAUAAUAAAAUGGUUGUUUUGUGCCAUUAGGUUUGGCGUGACUUGUUAUGCCCUUCCUGCUUCUGUGUCUUUGCUCCCUCCAUCUGGAAUGCCUUUCCUCUCCCCCAGCCUGUAGAUAUUCUCUGAGGCACAGCUAUGAAUGGUAUCUCCUUGGUGGAGUUCCUCACAGAUUUAAGAGGGGUGACCUUAAAACUUGUGGCCAUGGCUGGGUGUGGUGGCUCACACCUGUAAUCCCAGCAUUUUGGGAGGGCGAGGUGGGCAGAUCACUUGAGGUCAGGAGUUCAAGACCAGCCUGGCCAACAUGGUGAAACCCUGUCUCUACUAAAAAUACAAAAAUUAGCUGGACGUGGUGGCAUGUGCCUGUAAUCCCAGCUACUCAGGAGGCUGAGACACGAGAAUCACUUGCACCCAGGAGGCGGAGGUUGUGCUGAGCUGAAAUUGUACCACUGCACUCCAGCCUGGGCAACAGAGUGCGACUCUGUCUCACAAAAACAAAACAAACAAACAAAAAAAACCAACUUGUGGCCACAAGUCAGGGCCUUGAGUGGAUGUACAGAAUUUAAUCAGAGAGACUUGCAAUUUCAAUGAAGAGUAUCAUUCUUAAGAGACAGGAAACAUUAUUCACAACGGCCAAAAGGUAGAUGGAAUCCACCUAUCCAUUGGCAAAUGAAUAGAUACAUAAAAUGUAGUCUCUACAUACAAUAGAAUAUUACUCAGCCUUAACAAGGGAGGGAAUUGUGACACAUGCUAUGGAUGAACCUUGAAGACAUUAUGCAAAGUGAAA